rnacentral:siRNA from 1 species
UGAACUUUUAGGUCGGUCAA